AAAUUUACACCGUAACUUCGGGAGAAGGUGUGCCGCUGGCGGUCAGUGACUUCGCGUCACGAAGCUGUCGGUGGUCGCAGUGAAAUGGCGGUUGUGACUGUUUACUAAAAACACAGGACUCUGCGAAGUCGUAAGACGACGUAUAGGGUCUGAUGCCGCCCGGUGCUGGAAGGUUAAGGGGAUAUGUCAGCGCAAGCGAAGCAUUGAACCGAAGCCCCAGUAAACGGCGGCCGUAACUAUAACGGUCCUAAGGUAGCGAAAUUCCUUGUCGGGUAAGUUCCGACCUGCACGAGGGCAUAUCAACAUCCGCACUGUCUCGACCAGGGACUCAGCGAAAUUACAUUGGGGGUGAAGAUGCCCUCUACCCGCGGAAAGACGGAAAGACCCCAUGAACCUUUACUGCAACUUGGCAGUGAUUUUCGGGUUGUUCUGCGUAGGAUAGGUGGGAGGCUUUGAAGCCGGGCUUCCGGGUUCGGCAGAGCCAACGUUGAAAUACCACCCUGAAUAAUCUGGAAAUCUAACCUGCACCCAUGAUCUGGGUGAGGGACACUGCCUGGUGGGCAGUUUGACUGGGGCGGUCGCCUCCUAAAUUGUAACGGAGGCGUGCGACGGUUCCCUCAGGCUGAUUGGAAACCAGCCGUAGAGUGCAAACGCAUAAGGGAGCUUUACUGCGAGACUGACAAGUCGAACAGUUGCGAAAGCAGGUGUUAGUGAUCCGGUGGUACCACAUGGAAGGGCCAUCGCUCAUCGGAUAAAAAGUACUCUGGGGAUAACAGGCUGAUCGCGCCUGAGAGUUCACAUCGGCGGCGCGGUUUGGCACCUCGAUGUCGGCUCAUCGCAUCCUGGGGCUGGAGCAGGUCCCAAGGGUUUGGCUGUUCGCCAAUUAAAGCGGUACGCGAGCUGGGUUUAAAACGUCGUGAGACAGUUUGGUCCCUAUCUUCCGUGGGCGCAGGACACUUGAGAGGAGCUAUCCAUAGUACGAGAGGACCUGGAUGGACGAACCUCUGGUGCUCCGGUUGUCACGCCAGUGGCAUAGCCGGGUAGCCAUGUUCGGAACAGAUAACCGCUGAAGGCAUAUAAGCGGGAAGCUGGCCUCAAGACUAGGUGUCCCUGACGCAAGUCACUAAAGGCCCCUCGAAGACUACGAGAUUGAUAGGCUCGGUGUGGAAGCGCUGCGAGGCGUGGAGCUAACGAGUACUAAUAGGCCGUGCGACUUGACCA
rnacentral:rRNA from 1 species